rnacentral:rRNA from 1 species
GACGAACGCUGGCGGCGUGCCUAACACAUGCAAGUCAACUUGACUGAAGGAGCAAUCUGACAGUAGAGUGGCGCAAGGGUGCGUAACGCGUAAGUAACUUGCCCAAGGUAAGGAAUAACGUCGAGAAAUCGGCGCUAAUACCUCAUAAUGCAGCGGAUCCGCAUGGAUAUGUUGUUAAAGGUUUACCGCCUUGGGAUAGGCUUGCGUCUGAUUAGUUAGUUGGUGUGGUAACCGGCACACCAAGGCUACGAUCAGUAACUGGUCUGAGAGGAUGAUCAGUCACACUGGAACUGAGACACGGUCCAGACUCCUACGGGAGGCAGCAGUGAGGAAUAUUGGGCAAUGCUCGAAAGAGUGACCCAGCAACGCCGCGUGGAGGAUGAAGGUAUUCUAUAUCGUAAACUCCUGUGAGAGCAGACGAAAGACAGAUUAUUAAUCUGGAUGACUGUAUGCUCAGAGGAAGCCCCGGCUAACU